UACGUAGGGGGCAAGCGUUGUCCGGAUUCAUUGGGCGUAAAGAGCGUGUAGGCGGCCUUUUAAGUCCUGCGUGAAAUCCUGCGGCUCAACCGCAGACGGUCGUGGGAAACUGGAAGGCUAGAGUCUGGAAGAGGAGAGUGGAAUUCCUGGUGUAGCGAUGAAAUGCGCAGAUAUCAGGAAGAACACCUAUGGCGAAGGCAGCUCUCUGGGACGGUACUGACGCUGAGACGCGAAAGCGUGGGGAGCGAACAGG
rnacentral:rRNA from 1 species